rnacentral:rRNA from 1 species
UACGUAGGGUGCGAGCGUUGUCCGGAAUUAUUGGGCGUAAAGAGCUCGUAGGCGGCCUGUUGCGUCCGCUGUGAAAGCCCGGGGCUUAACCCCCGGGUCUGCAGUGGAUACGGGCAGGCUAGAGGUAGGUAGGGGAGAAUGGAAUUCCCGGUGUAGCGGUGAAAUGCGCAGAUAUCGGGAGGAACACCGGUGGCGAAGGCGGUUCUCUGGGCCUUACCUGACGCUGAGGAGCGAAAGCGUGGGGAGCGAACAGG